AUUGAACGCUGGCGGCAUGCCUUACACAUGCAAGUCGAACGGCAGCGGACCUUCGGGUGCCGGCGAGUGGCGAACGGGUGAGUAAAGUAUCGGAACGUACCUUUCAGUGGGGGAUAACUGUCCGAAAGGACAGCUAAUACCGCAUAUUCUGUGAGCAGGAAAGCAGGGGAUCGCAAGACCUUGCGCUGAUUGAGCGGCCGAUAUCAGAUUAGCUAGUUGGUGAGGUAAAGGCUCACCAAGGCGACGAUCUGUAGCGGGUCUGAGAGGAUGAUCCGCCACACUGGAACUGAGACACGGUCCAGACUCCUACGGGAGGCAGCGGUGGGGAAUUUUGGACAAUGGGGGCAACCCUGAUCCAGCCAUGCCGCGUGAGUGAAGAAGGCCUCGGUU
rnacentral:rRNA from 1 species